rnacentral:rRNA from 1 species
GAUGAACGCUGGCGGCGUGCCUAAUACAUGCAAGUCGAGCGAACAGAUAAGGAGCUUGCUCCUUUGACGUUAGCGGCGGACGGGUGAGUAACACGUGGGUAACCUACCUAUAAGACUGGAAUAACUCCGGGAAACCGGGGCUAAUGCCGGAUAACAUUUAGAACCGCAUGGUUCUAAAGUGAAAGAUGGUUUUGCUAUCACUUAUAGAUGGACCCGCGCCGUAUGAGCUAGUUGGUAAGGUAACGGCUUACCAAGGCAACGAUACGUAGCCGACCUGAGAGGGGGAUCGGCAAACCUGAAACUGAGCAACGGUCCAGACCCCUAGGGGAGGCAGCAGUAGGAAAUCUGCCGAAAGGGGCGAAAGCCUGACGGAGCAACGCGGCGUGGGUGAGGAAGGCCUUCGGAUCGUAAAACGCUGUUAUUAGGGAAGAACAAAUGUGUAAGUAACGGUGCACGUCUUGACGGUACCAAUCAGAAAGCCACGGCUAACUACGUG